GCUCUCAGGCUGAAAGUAAUCUCACUCAGAGUACAGAUUGAUUAGCUCAGCAUUAACAUGAGGCUGUCUCUGGGCUGUGUGGUGGACAUCUUGGUAUUACUUUUGCAUUGGUCUGCUUACCUGUCGACUACUUCAAGAAGUGCUUCAACACAAGAUUAUGCCUAGUACAGUACUGGUGGUUUUCAGAGUCUAGAAAGUGAUGACAUCGUACUCCCAGAUGGGGGGAAAGAGACAGUUUUUUCUUUUGAUUACAUUGUACUUUGUGAUGAAAUAUCAAACUAAUAAAUUUGCAAAUAUUGAA